rnacentral:rRNA from 1 species
AGGAUGCAAGCGUUAUCCGGAAUUAUUGGGCGUAAAGCGUCCGCAGGUGGCUGUUCAAGUCUGCUGUCAAAGCGCAGAGCUUAACUCUGUACAGGCGGUGGAAACUGAAGAGCUAGAGUAUGGUAGGGGUAGAGGGAAUUCCCGGUGUAGCGGUGAAAUGCGUAGAUAUCGGGAAGAACACCAGUGGCGAAAGCGCUCUACUGGGCCAUAACUGACACUGAGGGACGAAAGCUAGGGGAGCGAAAGGG